UCAAAUCCUGAAAAAACAAACACACACACACACACACACACACACACACACACACACACACACACACACACACACACACACACACACACACACACACACACACACACACACACACAGCAAAUACUCAAUUACAACAAAAACAAUGGUCUCGUUUGGUUGAUACAUUCAUUAGGCAAUUGGUAAUUGCUUAUUUCAAACUAGACACAUACCAUGCACUUCUUUUUAAGGUUCUCCCACUUCUUAGAAGCCUGUUGCCUGGUCACUUUCCCCUCCAUCCCCAUUACUUUCAGAUAAAGCCUACAUCACAGCCAACGUACAGUAUAACGACACAGACAUUCAGUGGGCUAUUGAGCUCAACACAGAAAUACCAAAGAAGAAAACAGACGCAAGAAUGAAAAGAUUGAACAACGUAAGACUCACUCCCACUGUUUUCUGGCGAUCAUUUUUGAUUUUAGGAACUCAUUUUCCCUGGUCGCUCUGAAAUUAAUGAGCCGUCUGGUCUGGUGUCCCUGAGGUAAAAGUUGAAAGGAAAUCUUCAGUUUGACAGGCGAGUGACGUAGCCUAGGUGGCAGCUUUACCGAUAUCAAAGCAGUGCGCCGGUAUAAUCAACCAAGGAAUAGUAGUAGUAAGCAAAUCCACUGCACACAAAUUUUACUUGAAACCUUAACAUGUCAUGUCAAGGGUUAUCGGAUAUCUAUCUCAACAAAUAGCGAUAGCGGAACACAUUAGCAUCGGCUUCUAUAGUGAUUCAAAACAAACUUGACUGAAUCAAAACAAAAUAGCGGCCUAAAUUGGUUGGGCGCUAACCUGGUAAUUUCUCUGCGUGAGAAAUACGAAGUGUGGCGUGUGAGCUUGUGCUUGGGUUGAAUUGCGUGUGUCUCACGCAUGCGUGUGACUUGAGAGCCCUGAAAGAGCAAUUGUUUUGGCUCACCCAUCGAUGUAAAAUUACUGGGUACCCAGUAGCCUACCCGUGAUACUAAGCUGCACGAUUAAGCCGUUUUUCGAAGAGAAAAGCUGCAAUUUAAACAUGUUUAAGCAUCCAUAAUUAUAACCACGUCAAUAACGUUUGUAAUAAACCAAACCGUUAGUAAAUCCGUCAAGAUUUCAGCGAGAUAAGAGUAUUAGCGUUUGUGCAGAUAACUGAUUUACCUCAGCUACCACAGAUUCCACCAGAAAGCUUUACUGUGGUAAGAUGGCCGCCUAUGCAAGGCCGUUCCAAGGAAUUUGGGGGCCCCAAGCAAAAUGGACAUGGAGACCCGCCCCCCGCCGCAAAGCCUACAGGAACCACAGCAUAGCCAUACAGUUUAAGUUCACCCACACUUUAUAUAAAUAACAAAUGUUGACAGUGCAAAUACUGCUGUUGCAUAUACUAGUGUGCAGGGGCGCUGCCUGGCGGGGAAAAGUGGUACUGAUUCUAAGGGCCCAGCCCAACGCAGCACGGCCCACGGCCCGCGGAUGGCAAUUAAUAAUAUAAUAUUAAUAUUCUUGCCUUUUUUUUUUUUUUAAAUGUCUCAUUACAAAGAAAUGGUAAUUGGAAAUAAACGUAUUAAACUCACAACUGUCGAUUUCCAUAACGUUUUCGUUAGUUAUUUAACAUAUUGUCAUUUGCCCUUCCCCCUGAGCUCUUGCGAAAUGGUUCAGCCGCAACGCGCGAUGCGUUGAAUCGAACAGCAUCCGAAAUUGGAGAUGCUGGCACUGGCAGCAGGUGUACAGAGCGGCUGGGCUGGCUGAGGUCAGGUCUUAACCACAUGAUGGUGAUCUGGUGGUGACAGCUACAGAAAUGAAGUCAGGUUGGCAAAAACUGAAGGAAAGACGGGAGAAAGAGGAGAGGGCCAAAAGAGGCAGGCAACUGGUCACUCAAUUUUUGGCCAAUAAAGAAGGUAUGCUCACUCAAUGACCUUGCGUUUUCAAACUCUAUCAAAUGGUAGGCUAACAAGCAGAAUUCUUGGAUUAGCCUCCAAGAGAGCAUGCUAGUUAGCAUAGUUUCCUAUUUAAAAACUCCACCUUUAUUGUCACAGCGAACAAACGGCAAAUGUGGACCAACGACCGUGAUAAACUAGUCUUUUAAUACAAAAUAUUUUUUUCAAAAGAACCUAACGGGGUGGUGUCUUAAAUAUGUGCAUUUUCAACUUCAGGAGGAGGACAAGAUCCGCCCACGGCCACCACGACUGGAUCCCAUUUCGGAGAAGGAGAGGCAGGCCCCUCAUCAUGCCAUGUUCCUCCAAACACCAAUGUUGAAGUGCAGAAGGACAGGACAGGGACCAGCAGUGCAGAAGAGCCAGCCCCCACAUCAGGCCUUGAUGUUGCAGCGUCCAGUCCAGACACCAGUGCUGAAGUGCAGGAGGACUUUUUAUUCAUGAACAGUGUUGAAGCUGAAGUGUAAAUAUUUGUGUUGAUGUCAAGCAAUUGUAAUGUUAAUUCAGUUCCUAUAAGAGUCUAUCUUUUUAAUGUAUCUUUUUUGUGUACUAUUUAUGGAUAUUUGAAAUUUUACUUGCAUAAUAAAUUUGUGUUUAAAGUAAGCAGAAACCUUGGAUUUUUUUGCAGUGCAUCAUGUCUUCUGAAAAGACUAUUGCAGUUAUACAAGGUAUGAAAUUGUGAGUACUCUUAUGGUUUCUUGGGGCUCUGGCUGUGAAGCAUCCACAGGCUUAUGCUGCCAUCUCAAUUACAAAGCAAGGUCACUAACUACAUGAAUGGGCAACCAAUAAUCAAACUGACAAUUGUAGUACAGUUUCAAGCUGCUUACAGACAAUUUUAGCAUAACAAUCAAAUUUCUGUCUUUGUGAAUCUGUACACACAGCU